UCCGGCUUAACGCCGGCAGUCUCCUUAGAGUGCCACGGCAUGACCCGGGGGCAACUAAGGACAGGGGUCGCGCUCGUUGCGGGACUUAACCCAACAUCUCACGACACGAGCUGACGACAGCCAUGCAGCACCUGUGCACGAGCUCCGAAGAGGGGCCCCUGUUUCCAGAGGCUUUCUCGUGCAUGUCUAGCCUAGGUAAGGUUCUUCGCGUUGCGUCGAAUUAAACCACAUGCUCCACCGCUUGUGCGGGCCCCCGUCAAUUCCUUUGAGUUUCAACCUUGCGGUCGUACUCCCCAGGCGGGGUACUUCCUGCGUUAGCGCCGGCACCCAGAGGGUCGCUCCCCCAGGCACCUAGUACCCAUCGUUUACGGCGUGGACUAC
rnacentral:misc_RNA from 1 species